CACUUUUAAUCAAUGAGGAAUACAACAACAAUCAGUUAUUUACAAAAUUAAUUAAUACAAUGGAAUCAACCCAAUGAAAACAUAGUGGCACAAGAGAAAAAAAAAAGGACAUCGGACAAACACGUAUCUUAGUGAAAAGGUGAUGACAAGAAUCAUUCAUAAAAAAUGAUCUAACAUGAAGUGUUUCCUGUGCAAUAAAUAAAUGGCUGAGAUUGAAUGUAUUGCCACAAAAAUUGCCAUGAGCACAUGCUUUCGGUUAUGAUGCCCUACAUCUUGCAACCUCAAGGUCUAGAGUUUGGGACCAUGCCCUUAAUAUUGCCUACUGUGAUGGAAGGUCCUAUUUCAGUCUCACAUGUCGUUGCAACUUCACGAAAUUCAUCCUUCUUAUUCAAGGCAUGAACUGGAAGAUAUAGUUUAGAAAUUAAAACAGAAUUAUCAUCGUCAGCAAGGAAAUAGGAGAAUAUAUUGAUCAAUAAUCGAUCAUAGAACCACUGAAACUACAUUUGGAUUCAGGUGCUUUGUCGAAUGCAAUAACUACCCAUGAAGUGAGGAUGGUUGAUAGACAUAAGCCAUCAAGUAAAAAGUGCUUGUUCAACAAACAAGAUGCAAAAACACAGCAGUUACAAACAUAACAUGAAGCCAACAUCAAAACAAAAUUGUGCAAAACACAGAGCUGAAAAUAAUAUAUGGUAUAUAUGUAUACAUAAGUUCCCAGUGUAUUUCAUAUCCAAUCACAACCAUUUUGUUGUAAUUUCAAUGCAUUCAGCAGAAAUUAAAAUGAAAAAUGCAAAUCAUCAGAUAAUAACAAACUACAUGUUCCUAGUGUAUUAUUUAUACAGUAAACCUGUAAAACUUAUGCAAGUACCUCGAAAAGAUAAACUUGUAAUCGUGAAGACAUAAUGAGAAUCAAUAUUAUCAUCAUCAUUGCGAUCACUUUCUUAAAAAACUCAGGAUAUGCAAAACCCCUAGUUGUAAAAAAAAGAUUAAUUCAAAUGAGUAUCUGCCACUUAAAUUAAUCAAGCAUGUUUGAUAAAAGUCAUUCUUUCUCUCCCCAACCAAUUCUAUUUCAACUUUCAGCUAUUUAUCUGCCAUUGCACUAUUUUUUAUAAUCAUCAUCCCUCAUUCAUCCAAAUUCUUUGCAACCCAAGUGAAUUAAUGCACUUAUCUCUUAUUCUCAAUAACAAGACUUUCCAAAUUGUCAUUGCCAAUAUGUUAAUUGUUUCUCAGUAUGAUAUAAUAAAACAAACGAAUUAUAUGAGCUAACAAACAAAUACCAAUUUCUUUAAUGAUGGCUUCACUGGUAUUGCAGGCAAAAAAUUUCCAGUUAUUCCAACUGCAAGACACAAACAGGAAAGCAAAAACCAAAUCAAACAUAUUAACAUUUUCUCUUGGACAUUUGACACAAGAUAUUCAUGCAUCAACCAAAUUACCUUUCAAAAGGUACACCAAACUCCAGAAUAAUCCAAAAUCCCACUAAAACCAAAAUUCUCAUACCACCAAGGUCACAUGAUAUACAAGUUUAUCCUUUUGUAGGUAUUAAGUUAAAUCCUUGAAAAUUGGAGCAUGACAAUUAAAAAAAAAGAAAGAAAGCCCUUACCCCAUUUGAGGUGUAGAAGCCAAGCCAUUAGUGAGUUGAAGAGUUCCAUAAUUAGAAGUAUAAAAAAUCUCGCCAAAAGAUUUGCUGAACCCACGACUGUAACUUGCUUUCUCAUAACUCUGCAACAAGACACCAACACCAAAUCCAAUAUCCAUAAUAAGACACAGAACAAGACACAGAACCAAAGCAAAAAUUAAAGGUUUCUUCUUCAUUGACAACAUUACCAUUUCCACUCUUAUUAUUUCUCUUACACUGCUUUUUUUUUCUUAUUCCUUAAGACGUAGGGACAAGUAAAGCUUGGAAAUAUAAGAAUAAUGAAAUAAUAUGCACAAGAUAAAUAAUAAUUACUCAAAAUUUACCCAAAUAGAAGAAUAAUACCAGUGAGCCAAUGUCAAUCCUCAACUGAUGCAGCGGAAGUUUAAUGUUCAAAAUAUUCUGUUGAUUCUAGAGAAUACCGGAAUAAAAGAACAACUAAAUUCACCUGCUGUACGGCCAAGGCGGAUGUACGGUACAGCAGAUAUGUGUUUGGUAGUACUAUUUUCGAAAACAACUUUUACUAAAUAUUUAAGUCAUACUUAUAAUUAAAGUAUAAUUGUUUAACUAAUACAUACACAAACAUAUCAUAAAUAAUUUAAACAAAAUAAUUAUAAAAAAUUAAAUGAUAAUACAAUUUAAUUAUUAACAUUAAUUGAAAACAGUUUCAUAUUAUCUUUAUUUUUAUACUAUAAUUAAAAUAUUACAAUAUCUAUUAUUUAAAAAAAAUAAUUAUAAAAAUUACAUGAUGGGUAUCAUGCAUUACCCAAGUAAUCAUGUUGCAUGAAAUUACAAUUUUAUCUCUUAUACCAUUCAUCUCUACAAUUUAGAUUUUAAAUCAAAUCAUUCAUACAAAAGAAUUAAAAUAGAAUAAUAGUUUAAUUUACAAUAUUCACUUUUAAUCAAUGAGGAAUACAACAACAAUCAGUUAUUUACAAAAUUAAUUAAUACAAUGGAAUCAACCCAAUGAAAACAUAGUGGCACAAGAGAAAAAAAAAAGGACAUCGGACAAACACGUAUCUUAGUGAAAAGGUGAUGACAAGAAUCAUUCAUAAAAAAUGAUCUAACAUGAAGUGUUUCCUGUGCAAUAAAUAAAUGGCUGAGAUUGAAUGUAUUGCCACAAAAAUUGCCAUGAGCACAUGCUUUCGGUUAUGAUGCCCUACAUCUUGCAACCUCAAGGUCUAGAGUUUGGGACCAUGCCCUUAAUAUUGCCUACUGUGAUGGAAGGUCCUAUUUCAGUCUCACAUGUCGUUGCAACUUCACGAAAUUCAUCCUUCUUAUUCAAGGCAUGAACUGGAAGAUAUAGUUUAGAAAUUAAAACAGAAUUAUCAUCGUCAGCAAGGAAAUAGGAGAAUAUAUUGAUCAAUAAUCGAUCAUAGAACCACUGAAACUACAUUUGGAUUCAGGUGCUUUGUCGAAUGCAAUAACUACCCAUGAAGUGAGGAUGGUUGAUAGACAUAAGCCAUCAAGUAAAAAGUGCUUGUUCAACAAACAAGAUGCAAAAACACAGC
rnacentral:lncRNA from 1 species